AUGAUUUCACACAUCCAGCUGAUCUGGCCCCUGGCAUUCUGUGUCGCAGGUAUCAGUGGGGACAUCACCAUGACCCAGUCUCCCCCGGUGCUGUCAGUGGGACUGGGCCAGACCGCAACCAUCACCUGUAAGGCCAGUCAAAGCAUUAGCAGCUACCUUGCUUGGUACCAGCAGCAAGAAGGUCAGAAACCCUCUCUCCUGAUCUACAAUGCAGCAACUCGAUUCACAGGAGUCUCCGAGAGAUUCACCGGCAGUGGAUCAGGGACCAGUUUCACCCUGACAAUCAGCAACGUUCAGAAUGAGGAUGUCGCUGACUAUUACUGUCAGCAGUAUAGCAGCGGGUCUUUUACGUUCGGUAAAGGAACCAAGCUCAGACUGAUCCGUGACAACUCUCAGCCCAAGCUGACCCUGCUGCCCCCCUCCCCUGAGCAGAUUAAUGCCAAGGACACUGCCACCCUGGUGUGCCUUGCCAAUCACUUCUAUCCCGAUGAGCUGGAGGUGCAGUGGAAGAAAGACGGUGCAGUCAUUUCGGACGGGGUUCAGACCAGCAACUACCUGCGAGCUUCGGACAGCACCUACAGUGUCAGCAGCCUGCUGACCCUCUCUGGGUCUGACUGGGAGUCCAACGCUCGCUUCUCCUGUGCCCUCACCCACGUGACCCUCCCCUCUCCCCUCAGCAAGAGCAUCAGGAGAUCA